GAAGGGAGCCGGGAAGAGGGAGAGGAAAGGCGACUACUUAAAGUUGGCGGAAAGUUUGGUUCGGCAGCAAAGUUAACUCAGUUAAGUUCUCCGCUCCUAAAGCGAAACUUCGGUUCUCCAACGCCUGUGCCUGCCUGCCUCUGCCUCUGCCUGUGCUUGCCCUCCAUCCUCUUCUCUCUUACCCUUCCCUUUUCCCUCCCUUUCUCUUUCUCCGUUCGUCCCGCGCGCUUCGCACAGUCUUGGCCACCCUACCGAUUCCGUCGGUGCUACAGGAAUAAGUAAUGUGUUUUGGAAUUAGCACUGUUCCGGGAGAGUUUUCACGCAGAACAUCGAUCGCCAUUGAUCGGCCGGGGUAUCACUCUCGUUUUUGAUUGUACCGCAGAGGUCGUAUUCACGUGGGGACCCGAGCAAACUGCGUUUCCAAGUUCCUGCAUUGAGAAGAGCCCCGCCGACGCGAGUGAAAGGAAUUGAGAACGGGUCUUAUCGGUUUGAUUUUCGAUUUGGUAAACGCGGCGCCGCGAACGAGGGUUGUAAGAAUUUGUCAGUGCCGUUUGGAAGGUGGCUAAACGCGGAAUUGCAGUGGGAAAUCGAGACCGUGGCUUUUCGGGGAACGAGGCGAAGAAUCGCGCGUAAAACCGCGAAAAAAGUAAAAGUGACUCCCCGGAAACGGCUAGGCAAGAGAGACCCCGUAAAGUUCAGCGAAACGCUCCAGGAAGAAGGAUGUGUCCCCACUCUACACUGAACUCCUUCAGCCACUCCGGCACCGAUCGAAAUUCCGAGACAAAGUUUGCGAAAUUCCGAGGAAAGCGCGUGGUCGUUUAACGUUUCGCGUGAUGCCCCCUUCGCACAUGCACGCGUGGAAGCUUGUAAGCAUCGUUUUGUAACAGAUACCAGUCGUCGUGGUCGAGUACUGUCCCUCCUUUGAUGGCACGGCCGAGCAAAAAAAGAAACCGGUCCAGUUGGUACUUACGAGAGGAGGUUUAUCUUUCGCGAUUCGCCUAUGUGGCUCAAAAAGAAGUUACGAGCGUUCUCUCGGCUUCAGAGGAAAAAGAAACUUCCUAGAUGCCGUUUUGGAACAACAACUGGAUCGAAAAAACGAAUUGAUCUUUAUUCUCGCGUGUCCGAAGCCCAACGUGCCUCCCGCAACGAUAAUAAACAGCUUUAAUAUCGGAACAGAUGCUUGAACCGUGAAAUGUCAAUUUUUUGGAGGACUAUCAAAGUGCUGAGCACAAUGGGCUUUUCUGUAAACAUUCUCCAAAAAUAGUUUCUCAUAAAGCGUGAUAUAUAUGUAUAUAUACUUCAGAACCGAACCAACAGGGAAAUGAAGGACGAAGAAAUGGAAGAGAAAGUAAUAUGAUGUCGGACAAAGUAUUCCUCAAACUCCGUGAAUUCAGUCGGCCUUGAGAAUGCGCCCGGCACUGCGAAUGUCGAUGCACAUGCAACGCGCGCCUGCAACGUGGACUCCGGUAUCCCUUCUCUGUUACGCACUGAUCGAUAUAGGUGCACGCAUUAAUACCUCGGCGCUUUUACAGGGUGACACUUGAUCAAUUUGGCUCGCCCAGUGACUCAUCACGAUAGAUAGACGGAGUGCUCAACUUUGCAAGCUAAUUUCAACAAUAUUUGCGUAAUCGUUUCGCACUGUAUAUUGUACACACAUCAAUGAGUCACACGUUAAUAGCUGUACGUAUUUGAAAUUCGAACUUUUAAUCUUUGUUUCACGUUUCAUUGGAGGGAAGCCGGUAUUUCCUCUCUAUCGAGACACUGUAUUAUUCAGUGUAAAAGAAGUUAGGGAGUUCAGAGAACGAGAAAGCAUUAUACAGUAUUUCUUGCGAAAAUUGCGUUAUUAUAAAGACUGCAAAUAAUGUGAGAUUUUCUGUAGCUUUUCUUCCAGCUUGCUUCUAUCGUAGCAUGGGAAACUUUUGUAAAAUAUUUUUCGACCCUCGUGGUACCCUAGUUAUUUCAAAAUGCUUGAUGAAUUUUGCAGAAACGAAAUCUAAUAACUUCAAAGUCAACUGUAGAUGAGUAGUAGAGAUAUCAGGAUGGGAAAUUGCUGUCGUACAGUCCCCGUUGACAUUGAAGUGUUGUGAAAUUUAAAACCCUCGUUCCAGCUACUCAAGACGGUAGAGUCAGUGUUGGCAAACACAGAGAAAGAAUAGAAAGGUGCUCUUGUUUGUUCGAGAGUUCUUUUUCGGCGUUCUGUCUGCGCACACGUGCCCUUCUUCACGCCUCACUUAAUUUACGAUUUCACUAUCUCGGUGGUGGACCAAGCGAAGAUCGUCCAUUCGCAUGACUUCACCGUUAGGUCAAGAAGGGCUCGAUCGAGCACCAUACAAAAAAAGAACAAUACCAGUACGUUCAAGACAUGUGCCAGCUCAUGUCCCCUAUUCAUGGUAGGGAACGCGAUGAAUAUACCCUUGUUAAGUUUCAAAGUUACACACACUCUACCGACUUUGCCAACCCCUCCUCUUUACGGUUCCCUAUAUCCUCUUCCGCUCUGAAUCAGAAUUUUCCACAUAAACCGCCGACUAACUUUUCUUAUUGUUUCCGCACCCGUACUGUACGUGCUUCAUAGAUUAAAUCGCGCCUAACGGAACGAAGAGCGUUGCUUGUUCAAUCUGCGACAUGCCACUCAGAUCUGCCAAAAAUCAUUUUUGUCAGAAAGUAUGAGAUUAAUGGUCGCAAAGAAAACCUAGCUCCUUGAACGAUUCCUAAAUCUUUAUCCGAAUCAGAGGGAAUACAGGUGCCAUUAACCUUCAUAUGAUAGGACCUACAUCUAUUUUGACUGAGAGUUACAAUUGUUAUAACUGAAUAUUUAACAGUUGAAAUUAUGAACUGUAUUAAUCACUAUGUACAAUAAGAAGAUAGAGUGUUCCCAAUUUAUCCAAGUAGACGGCUUUCAACGAUCCAAGCCUAGCAUGUCGACUAAAGCGACUUAAUCAGUGCAGUAAGAUGACCAAUACGGUUGUAAAAGUAACGUUAAUCCAUUAGUAAUAGCUAAUGAGCUACAACCCAUUACCCACGGUGGUUUACAAUGGGAACAAGUUCGUCUGUGUAUCAGAGCACCAAUUUAUAACUUGCUUUGCGCCCGCCACGGUUCGCAGGAACGUCAAAUGACCCGAGAACUUUAUUGGCGCUGAUAAAAAUUCAGACAUUCCGAAGCAAAAAAUUUUCUGAAGUUUAGCGCCCUCUUCGAGCAACUUCCUGAUGCAAUUUUUUGGAUUUUAAUAAGCCGGGCUGAAAGUAACAUCGGAAAACCAUGGGUUAGCCGAACACCCCGUAUAGACAGCUUCAUAUAGGACCGCAAAGUGUAUACAAACGAUUUUCUUCCUUUUCCACGCGCGCGCGUUUCUCGUGGAACAACGAUGAGUGAACCUUGUACACUUGUUUCUCCUCGUACUCGUACACCUACGCUCUUGGUUGCUCGUUCGCUACGUAAUACGUACGCGCGGAGGACAAAAAAAGUCGCUUCUCGCGUCUUCUCAGUCUCUCCUGGCCUCUUUCUCCUCUCUCUAUAUCUCCCUCUCUCGGUCUCUCUUGUUCCCUCUCGUUCCGGUCGUCUCCAACGGUCGCGUACGCUCGCUCGUCGGCUCGACCUAUGCGCGCGCGGCGCACACCAAUACAGAGUUACACAGCGGGUUAGGACAAGUGCGUAGAGAGCGGCAGAGAGUAGUUUCAUGGAGUUUAGUUCCUCGUAGUGGAUAUGGCAUCUUGACUCCUAGUAGUGGAGUGUGGCAAGCAAUGGUCGGCUCGAUCGAUGUCUCGGCAACUUCCCACCCUCGACAGUCUGCCCCACUCUUCACGACACGUCCCCCCAGCUCCCAGACCCCCUCUCAGCACCACCAUUCCAACCCCACUCCAACUCUCCUCAUCCCAACCGUCAGAUUCCCCGUCUCGCUCAACCACCUCCCGCUGUCCUCAUCCUCCGACACAUCGAACUAAAUCCCGGAGCUGCUUACUGCUUCCAAGUCUGUUUACAAUGGCGAUGCGCUACCCCCAUUAUCCCGAGGUCGUACUUCACGUUUGAACUAAAUCGCGUCGCUCGGCGCGGACGAACCUAUUUUUUCCUUUUCCCCCCUGCCCCGGAAGUUGCGACUCUUUGUUUGUUUUAGCUCGUCCAUGCCCCGCGAUCCCGCUCGCGAAUUACUAACUAUUUUGGACCAGGGUCUGUUGCUACUGAGGAAUCUCGGGUGCCAUCGAAAUGUUAGGUACAAGAUAUUCGACAGGCAGGUGGUUUGGAUUUUUGGGGCCGACUGUAUCCGCGAAUGUCCACAUAACCAACUAAAUGCUAACGGGCUAUCGAUUUCUAGAGUUUCGUAUACUAAAGACAACUGUUGUAAGAAUGCAAGCGACUCGUCAAUAAAGCUGUGGACAACAUUUCGACCGAGGAAAGAGUUAUUUCAAACGCCCUCAGGAAUCACCCCCUUUUGGGACACCCUGUAUAUGCUGCGCGAUCCAUGAGUAAAACGCGCGCAACACUGCAGCCCUUCCACGACCCAGCAGUAAACAUAGGAUUCGUGGCCAUGCUUCAAGAUUACGUUUCCGGUAUAGGAGAGGAUGGAAAUUCCAGCAACAAUGCAACCAUAUUUCUCGUUUGGGACAAUCCCUCAAUCCUCAACAAUUCUCACCUCGAGUACAAAAAGAACGGUUCCACGGACUUUUGUUUGCGACAGAGGUUUACAGAGCUGGCAAGGACUAAUUCUGGAAUGGGUACACCCUCAUAAACUGUUAAGAAUGACUUUCGUCUUGGGGAGGACACGCCUUGCGCAGUCCCCUGGGGCAUUUUCCAUUUCGUUACGGAAAAUCAAGUAUUGAAUCUCAGGUAACUCGGACAGUGACGGCGGCAAUGGUAGGAAGGACAAAUAUGUAGCUCGUUUAACGACGGGGAUGUAUCCCAAGAAACGGCUUCGUUAAGAGAAACUUUCUUGUCAGAAUAAGGAAAUAGCCAUCCAUCGACAAAAUUACGCAUACGCAAAAUUAAGCAACUUGAAACACUAGUUAGACGUCGACUAUCUGAAGUUUUCUUUUCUUCUUUUUAAUAACGACAUCUUUUUUUACAAUUUCAAGGAAUCGGGUCGGUUACAUGAAAACUUCCUUUUCCAAGAACUGUGAGAUAUUUGUUCUCAGAACUUAUGGUACAAGGAAUCUUAGAUUGGGGAGCUUCUGUAAUUGCAGUUCUCUAUAAAAUUCCAAUAAAACUUUAGAGCAUCGUUUAACAGGAUAGUCUUUAAGCAAGUAAAAGUAAUGAUACUUUGCAUUGAUAAAGACAGUUUACGCAACAAAACGGAAAGUUUUUCUAUUUAGAGGAUACUGUACAGUUCUCGGGCGUACCAAAAAAAAAAGUCUGGUUACUUAGUUUCGAAGCAGCAUGUAGAACGUCGCUUCUGUGUAGCCCGUGGACAAUCGAUGUAACCACUCUCUCGUGCCUUUUACCGCACUUGUACGGAUCCCGGACGAAGUGUAACGAUGCCGAGAGAUCGAUAAUAACCGCCGCGGUUUGGUUCCACCCGAGCCUCGUACGAGACAGGGACACUUUUUCCCCUUUACCGGCGUUCCUCCGUCUCCCUUUCGCGUUCUCCUCAUCUGGCCAGCAUGCACUAUCUCUUUUCACCUCGCGACGAUUUCACGCUGUAAUUACGCGACAAAAAUUGAUGAAAGACAAGAAGCGACAAGUCUCUGAUCGUGUUGUGUUUUCACCCCCUUUCUCCCCAUACUACUUUUCACCUGAGGUUUUCGAAUUUAGCACAGCUUGAACUGACAAAAGAAUUUCUUUUUUAUCGAAUAUAAAUUAGUAUUCGUCGACGAUAUUUUAGAUAAGAUCAAACGGUUGGACUUCCCAAAACGAUUUUUGUAUAAGAAAAUGUACGUAUGAUAAGAAUGCAAAACGCUUUUAAGUUACAUCAAGAUAACGACUCCGAAAAUAGAUCUCAAAUAGUGUCAGAAUAUUUCCUUUGCGAUUGUCUGAAAUAUUCAGCUAAGAUUAUCUUGAAUACUAAAAAAUGUUAAAAUGAACUCAAUUGCAAUACAGACUUUCUUAUCCAAAGGUUUAUUUUUGUAAUAUCCUGAUAGCAAAAUAUUAUAUUAUCUAAAAAUUUUAUUCAAGUUCUCUGCUAGGCGAUAAUAUAUCUAAAUGAUAUAAUAGUUAGUUAAAAUAAAACGUUUGGAUACAAGAAUAUCGUAAAAAUAAAUGUUCGGAUAAAGGAGACUCUAAGGUAUUUAAGAAAAAUAGUGAAAACACCCAAUGGAAAUACCGAUAGACGUAAAUACAAGAUAAUGUAAAUUUUGUGCACGCGGAGUGGUCUAAUUUUCCAUACAAUUACGCAAAAUUGUUUCUCUUUUUGUGCGCUAUGAAAUCGGAGACAGCACGGUAUCCGAAUAUUAAUGUCAGUAACGGUACUCGAUUCUAUAAAUACCGAAGAAAUGGAAGAUCGUCAAGGGAGAUAACCGCAAAUUUUUCGCAUUAUCGUUCCAUUAUCAGUGCAGGCAGAUAACAUUUCCAAAUAGGCAGUUACGUGUACCCGGCACAUCUGUACCCCAUAUAUCCAAGACUUAUGCAAGUUGUAUAACGAAUCAAUUUCGCUCAGCGCAUUACGUCCGGUAAAGGGAAAAUAUAAUCAAGCGGGUUCUGCAAACGCUCCAAGCCGUGCUCUUAUCUCGAUCGUCGAGUUUGCUGUGAUUAAUAGGUAUACGCCGAGUACAUACUUUCGCGAUGAAGCCGCUGCCGCCAUCGCUGUUACAUUUUUAAACCGGACGCCAUCGAGUUUAGGCGGCGACGCUGCUCGGAAGGCGAUAAACAAUCAUCGCGGGACGCGUAUCUUUCCGUGCGAAACGAGACUCGACAAACAAUAACAGAUCCUUGGCGACCUCGUCGUUCCCCCUGAACCAUGAAUCAUUGAUAACACCGUCGAAUCCGUUGCUCACGAAAAUUCUAGUUAAAAUGCCUAUCGACUGCGAUUAUUCGAACCGAUUACGCGCUAUGCCGGGACUCGGCUCGGGUAAUCGGUCCCGGGUAGACAAUGCGUCGCGGCAAAAUUGAAUGCCAGUAUUUUAACACGUUUGCGAAUGACGCUUGACGGUCCAUUAUACCAGUGCAAAGAUCGUGUACAUUUCGAAACGUGAAAUUCUUUGACGGUAAAACCUGUCUAUUUUUACGACUUGAUUUUUAACGAGGCUACUUAUUGCAGAAUCGAGAAGAAAUUUGGACGAAAAGUUUCUAAACGAGCAGAAAUUUGGUAACGCUGAAUUAACAAGUAACGUUUUUAAUUUAUUAUAUAAAUUUCACGUAACAGUUGGGAGCAAAUUGCGGCGAGGGUACUCUGAAUAGAUCUUGCUAAGAAAACUUUGUUUACGUUCACACUGAGGGCAAUAAUAAUAAUGCUAGCAGAUCGGUUACAUUGAUUUUUGUGAACAGCCUUUGGUAAACAAUGCAUUUCGAUACAUUGUUUAUAACAGAAUAUAUUUCGAAUGGCCUAAUCUAGUUUCACCGAUUUCCUGUAAAUACUUGUUUCGGGAAUUGUGGAACGGUUCGAUGCGUUGCCCCCCUCCCCCACCUAUUCGACGAAUUUCACCGAAUAUGCUAAGUGCAAGGUUUUUUACCGUUCGCUGUAAACGCUACCGUGACGUUUCUGUUUCACGGUGAUCAAUCAGCGGAUGGGUUAAUCCAGGGGAAGCUGGCUCGGCAACGAAGAUAUUCGUCGGAAGUGCGAGAGAAAGAGGGGAAAGAGGCUGAAAAGAGAAAGACAAAAAACAAAGAAGACUCUGUCGGUCAGUGACGGUGGCUCGAGACGACCUCCUUCGUCAAGCCGAACGACUUAACUUUCUCGAAGGAUAACACGUCUGCUCGUUUCCUUUCUCCGGGCACGGCCGCGGGAGAUGGAUUUACGCGGCGCCAAUGAGGAAAACGUAAAUAUACAAGACGCCGCGCAUACACACCGCGGGCCGGCCGGCCGUGAGUGGGUUUCCAGUUAAAAAGAAACAGCGAAGUGUCGCGACGUGAAUACAGGUCACAACAUCGCUGAAUAAGCAACCGAGCGUACACCGUUGCUCUCCGCGCGUUCAGCAAAUUACGUAAGGCCAGAACGGGAGCUCGUUUAAAUACCGACACAAUCAACGAUGAAUAAGUAAGUUACGUGCAUGUGGCGCGCGAGCGCGCACCUCACACCGUUCCGGAACAAAAUAAGGGAAAUGUGCGCGACGUUCGUUCCAUAUUCGUGUUAAAUUCGGCGAAAGUUACGCAACCCUGGCCGACGCCGAUGUCCUUUAGGACUUAUCGUUAGCCUUCGAACUACGAUCGAAGCCGAAAAUGCGUGGAGCACACCGGUGCUUUUACGAGAGAACAUACUGGGCUGAUUUUGCCAAGUAUUUUGGUAAAAUCUGUGCUUCUUUCUGUCAAUUUUUGCUCUGCCAGCACGCGUGCAUUUUACUGAAUAAAUUGAAAUAAAUAGAGGUGUCUCAAACGUGUAGAUUGCUUGUAAAUGGCACAUAAUUACAAUUUCGGUAGUUGCAAGAUCCUUUUAGUUCAAGUAGUUCGUAAGUUGUUUAGAUAUCUAUCACUCCCAACUUUGAGGGUUGCGCCCCUCCAACAUGAAAGUAGUUUAGCGUAUGUUAAGAUCCUGCUAAAGUUGUAUCAAAAUCUACAAUUACUGUGUCUCAAUAUGCUUCUUCUUUAGCGGGGGCUUGCGUACGUCUCUCCCACCUCUAUUUCAUACAAUUGGAAGUGAUUAGUAAGAAACGUGUUCGAUCUUCAAUAUGUUGCAGUCAUUUGAACCCUGUAGUUCAGAUUAGUAGGUCGUUAGCAUGCUUUAUCACUUCCAACGGAAGCUUGUUAACCGAGUCCGGCAAGAACAUCGAACUCUUGGAAAGCUAGGCCUACACGCCAAUUUAGGUGUCACCGACGAUAGGCCUAAUCUAAAGUACAUUUUUUAAUCAAAUUGUUUACGCGACGCUGAUAUUUUUUCGAGAACUCUCGCGUGCAGAAUCUGUAGGAGGAAACGUACUUGUUGCUCCGAAACCGCGGUUACCGUUAUUUAGUCUACGAUAUAUUGUUAUUAGGAAAUAUUGUCAUCACGUUGAAUCGGAACGCGACAUCCAUUCCGAAGCCAUGGAUUUGAAUAGGAAAUAUCGUCGUUGAAAUUGUCAAAAAUAGUUAUUUUAAUUUUGGUAAUUAAUACCAGCUUCGGUAAUUAAUACCAGUCAUGUAAACAUGACACUGGCGGUUGACAUUUUUCCUUUCUGCGAACAGAUAAUUGGAGUAUGUAUACUUCAUCGAUGAAUCAUAACGCUUGGUUGAAGCGUAGCGUAGUCAUUAAGUCGUUAUACGCUCGCGACAAUUUAUAAAAAUAAAUAAAACGCAUGUAAUCAAUGUCCGUCGGUACAAGUUAAAUAAUAUGAGCUAAAAGAUAGCGAGCCACUUCAAUAUUUUAAUGACUGAAAGAUAACGUAAAAGAUAAUACACGUAAUACCGUGUAGAGCUCUUUUGCAAUAAUAAAGAAAAAGCUGUGGGUACCCGAAAAGGAAUCCGUCAGCAACGAUAUAAGAGGGAAA